UCGAGACCCGAACGGACGAUCGCGAACGUGUUAUAUAUUUGCUUACAACAACUCCGGUUCGCCCCGCCGCUCCUCGCGGAACCGCGUGACAAGACGGAGGAAACGAAACCCCGGCGCGGUAGGCGCCAAGGAACACUUUUUGGAAGCGUUGUCGCGGCCUCCUUCCCCUCCCCCAUCAUGGGGAGGAAGGAGGGGGGAACGCGGGCGUGGAUAUGGAUAUCGUAUUCUGUACGACUCUCGGCAACGGAUAUCUAGGCUCUCGCAUCGAUGAAGAACGUAGCGAAAUGCGAUACUUGGUGUGAAUUGCAGAAUCCCGUGAACCAUCGAGUCUUUGAACGCAAGUUGCGCCCGAGGCCAUCCGGUCGAGGGCACGCCUGCCUGGGCGUCACGCCUCCCGUCGCUCCCCACAGUCGUGCGGAUGCGGAGAUUGGCCCACCGUACUUCGUGCGCGGCGGGUCGAAGUUCGGGCCGUCGUCGGGCCGAGCGCGGCGAAUGGUGGACGAAUACUUCGUUGUUUGUGCCUACUCUCCGUGCCCCGGCCCCAACAGUACGACGCACCGUCAUCGGACCCCUCACCAAGGAAGGACCCUCUUCUGCUUCUUCCAGAAGAAGAAGAAGGAGGAGGGAUCCGUGUCCUCGGAACG
rnacentral:misc_RNA from 1 species